GGUAUGGAUACAGAAAACUUCCUUAUGCCUUUGUCCCUUGAACUGUUGCAUUUAAAAUUCCACUUAAUAUCUGUUCAGAUUUAUAAAAAUAAUCUUAUAUUUUUGUCAGAUGAAAUAAGUAAUGUUUUCAGUAAUCACUUAAUGACAGCCCACAGUGUUCCAGAAUGCAGAAUUGAAUGGUCUAGGCUCAGUCCCUAUCCUGAAAAAAGAUCUCAGUGUGAAAUGAUAAUUACUACCAUACUGGUACAUUAGGGCUAGAGAACACUCAGAUAAGGAACACAUGACAUAGACACAGGCAUCACAAAAACAUCCUAAAGAAAAUAAAGCUUAGAUUAUGCUUUCAACAGUGGUAAGACCCAGAAAGAGACAGAGGUGGACAUUCAAAAAUAUGGGCUUUCUGUUUUGAGGCUGUGGCAGACUGUGAUAGGUAGAGCUAGAGGUGGAUCUAUAAAUUCCUGGCAUUUUUAGGCAGCAUCAUUGUUCCAAGUAUCAAGUAUGCUUUGUCAGGCAGAGAUGAUGGGAUAAGGCUAUAGAGAAUAUCAUAGGCCAGAUCACAAGGGACAGAUUGUAAAGUAUUCUAGUGUGGCUUGAGUAGGACGAAGAUAGGAUAGCAUUUUUGUCUUGAUGAAUAUGAUUUGCCAAUGGAAAGGUGACUCCAUCUGUAAUUUGAAGAUAGAAAUACAGAUGGGCACAAUGGAGUCAGGCAGAGACCAGAAGAUAACCUCAGAGAGAAGAACAAGACUACAAGUGGUGAUACAAGUUUAAUUUCCAAGUCAGACAAGAUUCUAAUAAAAUACAUUGUAAUUAAACUUAUUGCUUAGGGUAUAGUGCAGUAAACCAGGCUCUGAAAGCAGCAGUCAGAUUAAAAUAGAGUUAGUAGGAUAUCAUGAAAAUGGGCUUUGGGUUGUGUAUAUGUUUUGUAGAGAGCUAGUAUAAUGCAGAGGCUAGAUACUUGAGGUUUGAGGUUUGAUAGAGAUUAGUUUGAUUUCUAGCUCAGCUAUCUAACUAGUUGUAUGAUGUAGUGUAUUGUUAUUGAUCUUCAUUUUUGCUACCUGCUGAAGAGGAUAUUAAUAUCACCCAGAAUCAGAUUGUCCUUGUGAGACUUUAGUUAGAAAGUAUAGAACACUACCAGAGGUAUUUCGGGAUCCUCUGGUAGUACUAUGUCCAAUUUUCUGAGGAACCACCAGACUGAUUUCCAGAGUGGUUGUACAAGCUUGUAAUCCCACCAACAAUGGAGGAGUGUUCCUCUUUCUCCAUAUCCUCACCAGCAUCUGAAUUUUUGAUCUUAGCCAUUCUGACUGGUGUGAGAUGGAAUCUCAGGGUUGUUUUGAUUUGCAUUUCUCCGAUGAUUAAGGAUGCUGAACAUUUUUUUAGGUGCUUCUCAGCCAUUUGGUAUUCCUCAGGUGAGAAUUCUUUGUUUAGCUCUGAGCCCCAUUUUUUAAUGGGGUUAUUUGAUUUUCUGGAGUCCACCUUCUUGAGUUCUUUAUAUAUAUUGGAUAUUAGUCCUCUAUCUGAUUUAGGAUAGGUAAAGAUCCUUUCCCAAUCUGUUGGUGGUCUUUUUGUCUUAUUGAUGGUGUCUUUCGCCUUACAGAAGCUUUGAAAUUUUAUGAGGUGCCAUUUCCCAGAGACAGUGAAACUUAUAGAGGAGAAAGUGGGGAAAAGCCUCAAAGAUAUGGGCACAGGGGAAAAAUUCCUGAAUAGAACAACAAAGGCUUGUGCUGUAAGAUCGAGAAUUGACAAAUGGAACCUUCUUUGAAUUUUUUAUAUGACCUGAGCUCACCUGAGCUUCCUUGGUCUCCGUCUCUCAUCUAUAAGAUGAGGUAUAUCAGGAAGUUCACUGGUCCCUGGAUUGUGAAAGUUAGUCUGAGAACAAAAACAUAUAAAUAGAUAUAUGUUACAAAUAUAUACAUACACAAUUAUAACUACUUUCUACCUAUCUAUUAUGUAUCUAUUAUACAUCUACCUGCCACCUAUCAUCUGUCUAUCUUUCUCUCUGACAUGCAUCAUUGUUUGUUUUUCUGCUUCUCUUCUUAGUACAUUGCUGGUGCCCCAAACACGAUAUGCCUUUUGUCAGGGUUAGUAUGCAUCUGCCUUUGCCAGUAUGUAGUUCAGGAAUGCAUCUGCGUUUAAAUCAGGAGAAGAAAAAGAAGAAUACCCACACACAGUGCAGCCAGUACACAUAGUAUCUUCAGGCCAUGCCAUUUGUUUUGCAUACACUUUUGCUCUGACAGAGCCAGAAACAAAACAUCCGAGAUCCCAAAGAAGUGCGAGGCAAAACCCCAGACUGAAUGAUGCUUUUGAUGUGGCUCUUUCCUCUGGGGCUUAGGGCUUCCUGACGUAUAUACACCCUGCUAACUGACCCCAGUAGCGUUAGGGUCCAGAACGCAGAACUGAAUGUACCAGGCCACUGUGGGACAAGGCCAGCACAUCAGCUUUGGAAUUCAGUACACUGUGUUCCGGGAGUGCUGAGUCUGGCAGCGUACAUGCUGAGCACUGGGGAGGGAAGACAAGGCUCUCCUGGGAGAGCUGGUGCUACCAUGUCUCCGUAGUGUUCUCUGUGUGUUUGCAUCCUUUAAGUUCAUCAUUGAUCAGUCCAAGAAGUAACACUGCCUUCUUGAUGUGGAAAGGAAGCUG
rnacentral:lncRNA from 1 species